rnacentral:lncRNA from 1 species
UUUGUAGAAUUUUUUCCUCUUGUCCCUAAAGCACUUCACUCUGUUUCAGUUCUCAUAGAGAUCUUUCCUUUGGAAAAUCCUUUUGAUUUCCUCUAUUUGGAAAUUGCCUUGGGCCUGACACUAGCAGUAUGGACAACAAAAUCAUCCAGCUAUGAUUCCCACCUUCUUGGAGAUGCUAUUAAGAUGUAGCAGACAAAACACACAUGGGGAUGAGUGUGACCGUGGAGUGUAGUCUUCUCACAUUACGGGUGACGGUGAAAAAACAUCUGUUUAAUGAUGUGCCUGUGGCUCCUGAAGAACUGAUGCUUGGGACAGGCUGUCCAGUUACCGGGGAAACAUCAGCUAUAUAUGAGUUACACUAUCCUGUGUCAGAGUGUGGAAUUCAUUUUGAGGCUUUUCAAACACUUGUACUCUAUAAAACCACACUCUAUUAUAAGCCAACAAAUCCCUUUCCGGCACUAACAUUUCCCUUGUUCUGCACAGUGUUCAAGAAACUAUUCUUACCAAAAUUAAAUGAUCCUGUUCGUGUUCUGCCGCCUCAGGAAGCCCCAACACUGAAUGGCAUAAAAAUGCGGAGUAGUGUUUCUGUUCCCUCCUAUUGGAAUAGAGACUUCCCUGGGAUGUUGGUGGAGCAAGGCAUAAAAUCUCUUCAGAACAGAUACUGAAUCUUGGAACCAGUUCUUUCCCCAUCUUGGCUCCAAGCUCCGUAGUCUGCCACCUUCUUUGAUGUGGAGAGAAUGGACUAUCUGCAUCCUGAGAUUUCCAAGAAGGUAGCCACAGGACAGUCAAGGCCAGGGAAACAUGAACCUCACGCAAUUCUGGUUCCAAACUUUGGGAAACUGGCAUUGUUCAAGCUUGCAUUGGUGAGAUUCUCAGUGGGUUUAAAAAAAUUCCUCUAAAAAAUUAAACCUAAGCAUAUUGCCCUUUUUAAAUUCUCUCUAUACAAGGGCACUAUGUGGAUUUUAUAUAGAGAUUUAUUAGAAUGUGUAUAUUCAGCAUUGCAAUGAUGUAUAUGUAUACAUUAGUUUAUGUGCAUGUAUUAUAAUGAUUUGUUAAUUUAAUAAAAUUUUACGUAUACGUCUCA